rnacentral:lncRNA from 1 species
GAAACAUCCUGGCAACCGGAGAACACGGAUUUAAGGCAACUCUUUAAAGCAUUAUUGCCUGUCUGAACAGCCAGCUCCUCACUACACAGGUGACAUGAGGAUCUUCCAGCCAACUUCUAUCCCUGUCCUGGAGUGCAUGGCAGAGCUGCACAAGAUAGAGCCAAGCUGAGUUCAAUCUUUGGAGACUUAAAGUGCUCACUCAAAUGCACUGAACAAGAGGAAUGCUUCAGCUCCAAUCAGCUCCCAUCUUCUUUGGAAAUGCUGGCCUUGAGGCUCUACCUAAUAAUGGCAACCUGUGAUCCCAGUUUGUGCUGUAAAGAUGACUAAAGAAAUAAAGACCUCAGUCUCUCCACAUUUUGGAAGCAGAUAAAUAAGCAGCCUCAGCCCUGGGCUAAAUUCAAGGUCCUGCUGUGAUAAGGGCCAGGCAAACACAGUGUCAGACUGAGUUGCCCCAAGGAUCUGCAGCCAGAAGGGAGAAGAUGGAGCCAGGGCUGGAGGAAGGUUUGCUGGUGGUCUUGAGAGCACUUGCUGGAGUUCCUCAAAGCUGAUUGAUCACCCAGUGCUGGCAGGCCUCCUCCUUUCCAGCUGG